rnacentral:rRNA from 1 species
ACGAGUGCGAAUGUCGGGAUGAGUAACGUAUGGUGGGGCGCGAACCCCCACGGCCGAAUGCCCAAGGUUUCCGCUGCACGGACACUCCGCAGCGGGUUAGUCGGGCCUAAGCCGAGGCCGCAAGGCGUAGGUGAUGGACAGCUGGUUGAUAUUCCAGCACCGGUGUUGCGUGGUGAACCAUUGCGAUCCAGGUGGGGAUCGCCCGAGGGCAGACGAGGCCCUUUCAAGCUGGUAGGCCGUAUGGCUGAGAAGCGAGGACGAGCGGGGGUCUUCGGACCCGCCGCAAGGGGCGAACACCUAAACUGGCACGAAAGGCGUGAUGGGGAGCGUGAUACCGCCCGUACCGGACACCGACACAGGUGGGCUGGCGUAGCACGCCAAGGCCGACGAGCGAACCCUGGUUAAGGAACUCGGCAAAAUGAUCCCGUACCUUCGGAAGAAGGGAUGCUGCUCGGCGUGUACACCCCUGCGGUGGAAGCGUCUAGGCAGCCGCAGCGAGGAGGCCCAAGCGACUGGUUACCAGAACCUUAGGUCCCUGCGAAGGCGCAAGCCGACGUAUAGGGGCUGAUGCCUGCCCAGUGCUGGAAGGUUAAGGGGAGGGGUGCAGGCCCUGAACCGAAGCCCCAGUCAACGGCGGCCGUAACUAUAACGGUCCUAAGGUAGCGAAAUUCCUUGUCGGGUAAGUUCCGACCCGCACGAAAGGCAUAACGACUUGGGCACUGUCUCGACCAGGGACUCGGUGAAAUUGAAAUGGCGGUGAAGAUGCCGUCAACCCACACCCGGACAAAAAGACCCCGUGGAGCUUUACUCUAGCUUGCCAUUGUGUAUGCUGGUGGGCUGCGUAGGAUAGGUGGGAGCCGAGGAAGGCGGGCUUGCGGGCCGGCUGGAGGCAGCGGUGAAAUACCACUCUGCGCACUGGCGUGCACUCACCGGGAGCUUACCCCUCCUGGAACCAUGGCUGGUGGGGAGUUUGACUGGGGCGGUCGCCUCCUAAACAGUACCGGAGGCGCCCAAUGGUUCCCUCAGCGGGGAUGGCAAUCCCGCAGGGCGUGCAAGGGCACAAGGGAGCUUGACUGCAAGGCACACACGCCGCGCAGGGGCGAAAGCCGGGCCUAGUGAUCCUACGGUAGCGCGUGGAAGCGCCGUAGCGUACCGGAUAAAAGCUACCCCGGGGAUAACAGGCUGAUCCUGCCCAAGAGUUCAGAUCGACGGCAGGGUUUGGCACCUCGAUGUCGGCUCGUCGCAUCCUGGGGCUGGAGUCGGUCCCAAGGGUUGGGCUGUUCGCCCAUGAAAGCGGCACGCGAGCUGGGUUCAGAACGUCGUGAGACAGUUCGGUC